AACUAAGCUCGCCCACCUGAAGGGCGCUUUUAUUCGUACUCAUAUCCCCGUCUUCUUCAAAUCUUGGAGGGAUGUUUUUGAUAACUACAAAGAUGAUGUCUGGAAGGAAUUGCAGAUAUCCUAUCUAUUACCAGAUACUUCUAAGCUAAAUUUGAUAAAGGGGAUGGAUCCUAUAUGGAGGAGAUUCAAGUGGGAGCUAAGAAAAGACUACUAUGAUACUUAUAGCACCUAUAAAGAAAGGAUCACUCAUAUUCCUCCAACUGUAAGAGAAAAGGACUGGAUAAAAUUCUUUGAUAAUGAAAAAGAUAAACCCAACAGAAAAGUAGAGAAGAGCAUAAGAAGAAAAGGAAGAGAUAUGAUUACGCUCAUACUUCUGGUCACAAACCUCAUAAUAUGGUAAAAGAUGAACUGGAGAGCGAGAAUCCUGGGGUUGAGAUCACUACCUCUGAUGUGUGGAUUAAAGAUCAUACACAAGAGGGUGAGAAAAUUCUACCUAG